UGAUGUAGACGGCGUGAAAACGGAAACAACAUGUAUGCCGGCUCACUGUGCUGCAUACAAUUACACACUACGUCGUACGAUUGAGACAAGGAAACUUGGAAUGACUUUUCAUAGGUUUCCCAGAGACUAUGGGUUGAGGAGGAAUUGGAAGUUUGUCGGCUUAGACCUGGUGUCAUUCCAUCAGUGUUAAACUUCCCGGCUCAUCUUGGAAGAGUAUGUGCCAGAAAGACCACAACCAAGCAGCCUUGAGAUCUUAGACAGCAUCUCCCUCAGGUCCCUCUCUAUCUCCCUACACAUCCACCAACCACUGGAACACAUCUCCAAAGUUCUGCUGGGCCAGCUCAGCUUCCCCUCAGAAGAAGUGCUGCCACCUGCCAGAUGAAGGAGCCUUUUGAGAGGCAGCUGGCAUCGUGAUUGGACUGUACUUUGGUCUGUUCCAAUCCAGCUUCAGCUCCAGAGACGGCAGGCGGGACGAGUCAACGGAGGCCGGGUGGACGAAGGCAUGCAGCUGAGUACAAUCCAGAAAACAACAGAGGAGGAGUGCAGUGGUCCAGGGCCAGAACAGGGUAGCAUCGUAUGUCUCUUAGAAAACAUCAUAGUAUAGCCUUUGGUAUGAAAAAAUGCCAUCAUAUACAUCAUAUAUUGUACAAAUAACAAGUCAAUGGAAAGAGACAUACAUUGUAGAAUUGUAGUAAUUGUGGGCUGACUGAUUUACUG